rnacentral:miRNA from 1 species
CCGUUCGAGAAGCAAGACAAAGUG